AACGAACGCUGGCGGCAUGCCUAACACAUGCAAGUCGAACGAGACCUUCGGGUCUAGUGGCGCACGGGUGCGUAACGCGUGGGAACCUGCCCUUAGGUUCGGAAUAACUCCCCGAAAGGGGUGCUAAUACCGGAUAAUGUCUUCGGCCCAAAGAUUUAUCGCCUUUGGAUGGGCCCGCGUUGGAUUAGCUAGUUGGUAGGGUAAAAGCCUACCAAGGCGACGAUCCAUAGCUGGUCUGAGAGGAUGAUCAGCCACACUGGGACUGAGACACGGCCCAGACUCCUACGGGAGGCAGCAGUGGGGAAUAUUGGACAGUGGGCGAAAGCCUGAUCCAGCAAUGCCGCGUGAGUGAUGAAGGCCUUAGGGUUGUAAAGCUCUUUUACCCGGGAUGAUAAUGACAGUACCGGGAGAAUAAGCUCCGGCUAACUCCGUG
rnacentral:rRNA from 1 species